UCCCUCUCCCUCCCCUCCUAACCCACCCUGCAGUCAGUGCUCUUAACCUCUGAGCCGUCUCUCCAGCCCAGCAGGCCUGAUUUUUAUGCAUAGAAGUUGGAUGUCUGAUGGACCACACUCUCUGUAUUUCUCCAGUCCAUUGUGCGGAUUGAAAACAAAUAUUUUCAUAGAAAGAAGCAGCUUGGGCCACAGGCAUUUUCAGAUCUUCUGCUUCACUAUCACAUAUUAUUUCAAGCUUGAGCUUGUCUAUCCUCCAUCAAAUCGGUGCUUCAUCAAAUGGACGUUGAGUGUCUUUGGUCUCCAGGCCCUGCUAGCUAGAUGUUGGGUCACAGGGCGAAUGCUUUCUAUGUAGCCCUGCCUUUCCCAGGCCCCCCCCAUCUCCUCUACUGAUAACACGCGUAACUUUCCCCCCUAAAGUUUUACCUUUAUCUUUUAAAGGUAAAUGAGCAUGUGAUGUCAUAAUUCUCUUCAUUUCUGAGUUGGCAUCUUUAUUCACCUCUGUUACCCUGAGCUCCUGGCCUGUGUAUUAUUUUAUCCAUACUAUAUUGAUUUCACAGACCUGCCAUUUUCUCUUUAUUAAAAUUCCAAACGGCCGAAUGGCAGUUGUGCAGGCCUUUAACCUAACUAGCACUGGUGGUGGCGCAGGCCUUUUAAUCCCAGCCCUGAGGCGGAUCUUGGAGUUCGAGGCCAGCCUGGUCUACAGCCAGGGCUGCGUAGAGAAAGUGUAUAGUCUCAACAGUCAUGCUAAGUGGAAGCUUCUCCUUAUGAGUUACUACUUUCUUGUAUAUUGGUCUUAUAUCCAGGAAUAUUGAACUUAUAUUUUAUUUAAUAGUUUUCCAUUAUAGUUCUCGAUAUGGAGACAAUUAUCCCUCAAAGAUGCAAUUAACAUUUGUGUAUUUUGGUGUAUGUGUGUAUUUUGGUGUAUGUGUGUCCCUGUGUGCGUGUAGAGGGCAGAAAUUGACAUCUGGCGUCUCCCUCAGUCUCUCUCCACCCUGUUUCUUGAAACAAGGUCUUCCACUGAACUUGAAGCUCACAGAUUGCCUAGAUGGGCCAACAAGCUCCCCCAGGAUCUGUCUCUCACCUCCUGCACUCCCUGUGAGAGGCUGGCCAGCCUUUACCUCUUGAGUGCUGGUAUUCAAGGCAUGCAUCCAUACACCUAGCAAGAUACACACUAAUUAAUAUAUAUUAAUCUCAAAAUGAUUAUUCUACCACAAACUUGUACUGUCCAGAGGGUAGGUAUUUACUAUUAAGACUUGGCUACUAAAAUUCAGUCUAGUUGAAAAUCCCUGGCCACAUAUAGCUCAGUAGUAAAGUAUGAGGCCCUAGAUGAAGUGCACUGUUCCAGCCAGUCAGUCAUUACUGUUACUCUAAGCCAUAUGGCUGCCAUAUUUAAUAACUACAUAAUUCUUUCAUCAAUCUAAGAAUAUGAUUGAUUGUACAUUGUCUGGCUUUUAUUUAUCAGAGUUUUGUAUUUGUACUAUAUAUAUAUAUAUAUAUAUAUAUGUAAUAUAUUACAUCCUAUAAGAAAGCUGGUGUAAGCCAAUCAGCAUAUCCCCAGGGACAGUUCUGAGGGCCCCAGUGUAUUGUUUAUAUGAUGAUAUGCUAGAAAAGUUAUUUCUCAGAUAAGUACCAGGACAAAUCAUAGUUACCCUGAGACUUACUUCCCAGAAUCCUUAGGGAUAACUUUGAAAUCGGUUGUCUUUGUUGUUUUUGUUUUUCUUUGCCUUUUCUGGGAAUGUAGAGCCAAAGUUACGGUACAGUUGAGGUAGUCCCCUGGCGUGUGGGUCUGUGUGCUUUGUUCCUUUCUCUGCAGUCUCGGGGAACAGCUGCCAGAAAGCCCUUCAGCUGGCUUUCCAAAACACUUUAAAUUUCAAAAUAGUAGUUAAAGAACUCAGUGAUGGAGUUGACAAAACCCUUCAGGCCUUUCAGUAUUGCUAGGGAAAUUUAGCUAGGAGUAUAUUUGUGUCUUAGUCAAGCUGUGUGGACAGGACUUGAAUAAUGGUACCUUUUUGGAGGAAGGGGUUGUUCCUUGUGGACAACACAGAAUUAAAUUCUUAGUUAUCCUUUCUCAGUGGAGAGACAUACUUCUCUUUUUCAUUUUAUUCUGGAACUUACAUGCCAGUGUGAUAUUUGCACAUUUCAGGCCAAAAGGUAAAAUACGUUUUAAAAAAUAAGUUUUAAGCCUUAUAUGGAAGGAAAGUUGUAGAACUAGGCAUUCUGUUGGGCAGGGUUGGUGAAUAUAUUUGAUUUGGGGCUUCCUAGUUGCCGAAGUGAGAAAAGGAAAACAGAAUUGCAUAGUUUAUGUGUGUUGACAACCAGAAGCACGUAAACAUCUGCAGAAACCAAACAUUUCUUGGAACUAAACUCAAGCAGAAAUGUGUCACGUGGACCUUUGUUUAAAGAGUCUAGUGAAAAAUAUCUUCAACCACAGUUACAUAACAGGUCCAGGAGCACAGCGCAUGUGAAAUGGGUUCUCUAGGCGGUGACUGGGAAGCCCAGUGUGUGCCCUCGCAAGGCAGGUGAGUGGAAAGGAUCUCAGAGACCCGAGGCCAGGGCCUGUGCUGUUUGGACAUUACAGGAGGGAACUUUAGACAAUCACCCUGGUUACAGGGACCUUUAUUUUCUGUCAGAUAUGAGAUGCUGCCAGUGUGGCUUUUCCGUAGCAUCCAACAAUGACUCCACUGCAGAGAUUUUGCUUUGAUGAUUAAUGUAAAGCUCUGAAGAUAGCAAAGAGCAUUUUUUUGUGGGACCAUAAGGGCUGGCCUUUGCCCUCAAGAAGUCUAGUUUAUUUCUGAGUAAAGGGUCCAGUAGAAUCUUUACUCUUUCAAAACUUGUAUCCAUUCUCUUUUUUUCUCAUUUAGGCUUUUGUAACAAAGUAGCUUAACGAAUCAUAACUAAUAGGACAGAAGCAGCUUUCCCCCUCUUUCUGAGGAACAACUGUAGCCAGCUGCUCAUCUGAAAGAGUAUCAUGGAAGGGUGGUUUGUUUUAAGAGCAUGCCUUCUCUGGGGUUGACUAGGUAUGAUUUGAAUAAGAAUGCUCCCCACCCCAAUCACUUCAUGUAUUUGAAUGCUAGUCAUCUAAAAAAGGUGGUAGUCCUAAAAAUGUGCUUGAGGCUAAAUUUAGUUUUGGAUUAAUGGUGUUGGCAGAGGAGAUUUGAAGACCCUUAAGAGAUUAACAUUAUCCUUGGUCUUUUGUGCUGUGUCCUCAGAUGAAGGAAGGGACUAAAGUGCUCUUGGCCUUCUUUGAGAAGAGUACCAAUUCUAGUCAUGAGUGAUGCUCCGUCCUCACUUCAUGAUCACUGCCCAAGGGCUUGCCUCAAAUUCCAAAGCCUUGAGAAUUAGUUUUCUUAAUGUGGAGGGUUCAAACCCUGGCCUAUGACAGCAGUGGUUACAUUUCUGGAAAGCAACAUUUCUGGAAAGACUCUCAUGACUAUUUUAUUCUAAUAAUUUUCAAUACAGUAAUGUGACAAUUUUGAUCUAAUUUCAUUUUAUCCAGCUACUUAGAUACACUUUUUAUCUGAAGAAUGUACAGCACCUUCCAGUGCACCUUAAAGCAAAGACUACAUCAUUAAUUACUUGUUAAAAUAAUUUCAGUUCAGUAUACUCCUUAGGGAGGGAAUUGUUGAAGUUGGAGUUUGUUUUGAGCUUUGUGGGUUUUUUAUUACCAAUUUUUUUCAAUUUUUGGAAAUUAGUUCAAAGCUAUUGGAAAACUUCAGAUGGAACAUUUUUAAGUAAUAAAACUUUCCUCCAAAAAGGAAGAGAUUGCCAUUCGUCUCAGAGACUUUGAACUUCAGGUGUUUGGAUAGUGUUGAGGCUGUGGGAACUGAAUGCGUUUUUGCAUUAUGAUAUGCUCCAACUUACCAGACCAGGGGGUGGAAUGUGCUUGUUUUUAUAAGAAUGGCCCCUAUGGGCUCAUAUAUUUGAUUGCUAGUAACCAGGGAAUGGCACUGUUUGAAAGAAUUAGGAGAUGUGGCCUUGUUGAGGGAAGUGUCACUGAGGGUAGUAGGGUUUGAGGUUUCAAGAGUCCAUGUCUCGCUCUGCCAAGGGUGAGGAUAUAACUCUGAAGUACUUCUCCAGCACCAAGCCUGCUGCCAUGCUUCCCACCGCCUUGACAAUGAGCUGAGCCCUGAGAUUGUAGACAAGUUGCCUUGGUCAUGGGGUCUCUUCAUAGCAACAGUACAGUGACUCAGGAUCUAGGGGACUGUACUGGCUGCUUUUGUGUGUCACAAAGAGCCUCUGCGAAACAUACUUCUGCUGCAGCAUUUACUGCUCUGAGUUAAACAUGGAGCUGGGCACAGCCUUCUUUUAACAGACCAUGCCUUGAGCCUGACAGGGUCCCCAGCAGGUGCAAAGAGCACUUCCUUGUUAGUGUCAUCCAGGGAAGGGUCAGCUGAAAGGGCUAGUGUUUUCAGGUGACUGACAUGAGAGUAAGCUUUGAAAAAGCAUCUGUGCAAAACUUAAUAAUGAGGUCACACUAUUUUUUCCAGAAAAUACAGUGAGACCCAUGUGAGAGAAGACAGUUUUCUGUUAGGGAAAACAGUGGCCGUGCAUUACAGUGCACACCUGAUCUAUGAUCUUCAUAAUGUUCAUAUGUGUGAAGACAGCUUUGCAACACACUCAGUCACUUUCAUACUUUAAAAAUAAGCCCAAAGUUUCAGUUCAGCUUAUUAGUACCACCGUCGUUCUUUCUCUGCUCUCUCUUUGCUAUCUGUGCUCCCCCGCCCUCUGUUUCUCCCUCCAUCUUUGAGAAAGGACUUCAUACUGAUCCCAGGUUGGCCGGUGUGUAGCUCAGGUUGGCCUCCAAACCAUGGCAGUCCUCCUCCCUGGGCCUCCCACUUCCCCUGUGCCCAGCUUCAGUCCUUUGAGUGUUUCCCUCUGACUGGGGGAGUGACCCGUGGUUAGAGUGCUGGCUGCUCUUGCAGAGGACCCGGCUUCAUUUCCCAGCACCCACCUGGCAGAUCACCACUCCCUGUGACUCCAGCUCCAGGGGGUCCUCACACACAUGUGAAUGUAGGCAAAACACCAAUGCACAUAAAACAGAAAUAAAUAAAUGUUCCCACCUCUUUGAAUCAAAAGUGUUGUUUGUCAGUUGUAUGACUAGAGGCAGAUUUUAUCUAGUGAAGGGUCAGGCUGGUAAAAAGUAACCAGGCUGUGCCUUGGGAUGUGGGUAUUUAACUGUGUCAACCUAGGCUUGUGCCGGAAGGGAUGUCUCAAAACAGAAAGGACAUAGUUAAGCACAGAAGAUCGCUGCGUCGUGUCACCCGCCAUUCCAGGGCCGUGAAUUAACUUGCUCUGAGCCCUCUCUAACAAACACAGAAGGAAAAGAAUGGAACAGAGCUGAUUUCUUUCUAGGCUCCUGAUAGCUUUGUCCUGGUGUGUAAUACAGCUUCUUUUCUCCCACAGGCACUUUGCUGCUCGUUAGGGUUAGAAGAAUUGAGCUAGCAAGAGUCUGUACCCCUCGGCCGUACGCAGCUCACAGCCACUGGUUGCACAAAUACCUGACUCCAAUAGCUCAGGAAGAAUAUCAAGCGAAGAUGGGAGGUCAGCCUGCAAGCCGGAAGGGAGAGCUCACUUGCAGUCCUCCGGUUAGCCUGGUGGUUUCCUAGGCAACCACUUAAACAGUAAUUAAAGAUGAAGAACUACAAGGGGGGACAAUGGCAGCAACUCGGGCCCUUUUAAUAGAACACAGUGAAUCACUGACAACCAGGUAACAUGCCAACACGCCAACCAGAUAGGCUGUGGGGGUGGCUCCACUGGAGGAAAUCAAAACGGUUCUGAUUACCAAGAGAGCCACCCACUUCUUCACGAUCCACACGAAGAGCCCUGCAGCUCCCUCUCAAGGUACCGAUUCCAUGUUUCCCAAGUGCGUUUGGCCAGGUAGCCUCUGCUGAGCUUCACUUGUGGCUGGCAGGGUUACACGUGUUUACCAGGGAUCUUAAAUCUAUCCCACUUCCUUACAGGACUGUCCAUGGCACAGCAGCUUGGUGUGCCGGGCCCUUCGGCCGUUCUUCAGCCUGACUUGAUGUUAUUAACCGGUGUCUUUCUGUUUACCCCCACUCACGGCUCUGGGACAUGUUUUGUGUUCCCUGGGCCUCUGGUGCUGUGAUUAAGGGCUUGGUGCUUAUAAGCAUUUUUAGCAGAGGAACCAAGAUAGUUCUCAGUAGGCAUCCCAGAAUUGUGAGCUUUUAAUUACUCUGUAAAACAGCACAAGGGCUAAAGAGUCAGGGUUUAAUUUUAUUUCAGGAGGGUGAGAUACAGGAGAUUUUCUCACAGAUGCAGUUACAAUAGGAUUCCAGUUGCAACUCUUCUUUGCUUUAUUAUAUUCAAAUCGAGGAAGGGAGAAAAAAAGUGGAUCAGACUUAGAAGGGGCAGUUCCUCGCUCAAACAGGUAGCACUGAGACACAGCACCACCAGUAGUGUGUUCUGUCGAUUACCAGCCCUCAGAGCACAGUACUCCAUGAAAUACUUCAGUGCUGUGAACUGAAAACUCAGAAACGUUUGUGGGGAGCUCCAUGCACAUAGGAAUGAAGUCACACCUGGAGUGAGGCUCUGGGUGGGAAUUCUCACCAAUAUGGCGGAGGUGAACGCAGAAGCCAGUCUCUUGAGUAGAAAAAGAGCUGGCAGGGACUGGGUUUGGAUGUUGGGACUUACAAUCUGAUGUAGCAUGCCUUUGCUUUCCUGUAAGAAGGACCAGAAAACCAAGCAUUUCCUGAUGGUCCCGUGUGAGCCCUGUGAGUAUAAUGCUAAUGCCACUGCCCCGGCUGUGCUGUGGUGUUUGUGGGCUGUGCGAGGCAGCUGGAGCAGCCUGUGCAGCCAACAGCAGCAGAGGUGCUAAUGCAUGGCCAGUGAUGUCAGGAGUUACGAGACCUUGGUUUCAAAACAGCGCAGUAAACAAGGUCAAAGUGUCCCCUUUUGCUGGAAAGGAGGUCUGUUUUUAUGAGUUGGACAGUGCAUGGAUGAAGUAAUUUUCCAAACAAACGUCACGUUUGCAUGUAUUUUUUUUAUUUCUGGAUUAAAAAGAAACAAACAAGUUACCCAGAUGAGAUUUGUUACUGGUUAUAUUAUAAAGAUUCUCUUUUUUUUCUAUUUUUAAUGAAGGAAAUAAUCUAUUUCAUGUUUGCUUUUUAAAAUACAGUCUGUUGGUCUUUUCAGAAUUUCAUACAUGUAUAUAAUGUGUUUGGUCAUAUUUACUCGCUACUUCUCCCAGUAACUCCUUCCAUUUCCAUCUCCCCCUCCUCACACCUCAGUUUCGUGUUUUCUGAUCUAAACCUUUGAAAUAAUGUGGUAGAUUUCAAACCACGGUAGGUUGCAGUCACCGCCAAGAGCAGCAUGGCUCUUCUGGUCGUCUGCUUUGGUGUUUCGCCUGGAUAGGCAGGCGUCCGAGCUAAAGAAAGUGAAUGGUGCAGAAUGCCAGGGCUGCAUGGCUUGGCCUUAGCCGUUUCCCAACCUUGGUCCUGAGAACGCCAGAGAGUGGAGGCUCAAGCUGUUCUUAGGAGCAGUUGUGCUGGCCUCAGGGUACUGAAGGUAACAAGUAGAUGUCGUUCCUUCAGGGUGUGUGUGUGUGUGUGUGUGUGUGUGUGUGUGUGUGUGUGUGUGUGUGUGUGUGUGUGUGUGUGUGUGUGUGUGUGUGUGUGUGUGUGUUUGUGUUUGUCUGUCUGUGUAGUAACAGCGGUGGAGCCACGUGGCGUCUAGAGGUCAUCUCAGUCUGCCCUGGGGAAUCCUUGUUCUCAAAAGUGUCUUCAGUAGCGCCGAGAUGAACUGUGAACUUGAGGCCUUGACAGAAGCGAGGUGCUUUUGGUGUUCCACAGCAGACCUGGGUGUGUUAGUACACACACAGCUUUUAAAGUGAAACCAGGGCCUUGAGGAAGCAGUUGCCAGCAGCCAGCCCAGCACGCAACCUGCUUGCAGCUAGAAAGUGAAGUAAGUUGGGUUUUGGUUUGGUUUGGUUUUGGUUUUUUGGUCAGUCUCUUCUUCGUGAUUUUCCUUGUUAACAUUGUUAGAUGUUCAAUACCUGAUAAGGGCUAAGUCCUGCCCCCCCCCUUCUUUGAAGUGGGAAGUAUAGUUGUUACUUCUAAUUGCUUCUUUAAUCAUUUCUGUCUUCCAUAUAUAAGAGGCUGGUUUGCUUUAGAGACUGGGGAGCAUUGUCAAGAAGUAAACAGGCUCUUUGGUCACUCCCCAUCCCUUGGCUCUUCUCUCUCAGUUAAGUGACAAUGACAGACUCCUUCUGUGCUUGUAGUAGCCGGGAGCUCCUUCAGCAAAACAGCCCAGUUCCCUGCCUGAUUCCUGUUGGAAGCAGGCAAGGUGUGUCGUGUCCUCAGGGCGGUGUACAGGCAGAGAGUCUCCCUGACCCCUAAGCGGGAACUGAGUGGAAACCAGCGAGGAGAGGAUUACAGACAGAGCGGAAUAAUUUUAAAAUCUGUAAGGAAUUGGAAAGAUGCCAAUUAAAAAAUUAAGCUUGCUGGGGGGGGGAGAAAAUUAAAUGAGGAUGAAGGGGAUAGAGAGCUGGUCUGUCAAGAGAAACGACUUUUCCUCCGUUAGGAGGUUUUGUACCAUGUAGCUUUGGAGUGAAUGCGGGGUUUUUUUUGUUUUGUUUUGUUUGUUUUUUUUUUUGCCUUUGGAAUACAAAGAGGCAUCAGUCACCUAUGUAGGAGCCUGUGACAGCACGUUAAUUCUACAGUGGACGUGUAUCUUUAAUCCUGUUGGGUUUCUGUAUUGACUCUGUCUCUAGAGGUGGCUUGGUUCACUUUUAAAUGGGAGUCCUUUGGCUUUGACAUUGCAGGCAGAACCCAGAACGGCUGAGUGGUUUGUGAUUGUGAUGAAAUUCUUUCCUUCUGAAGGGAACUGCGCUGCUGUAGAGUGCUCUUGACUGUUUCUCCAUCCCGAUGGCGCUUGGAGGGUAGGAGGAGGCAGCGUGGCAGCAGAAGAGUGAGGAGAAGGGUCUCCUGUGGCAUAUGGCAGGGAUUCAGUUAGCGCUGGUGUCACAGAAUCCCAUUUUUACCUCAGAGUUGUGGAGACGGGACUAAGUAUGGCUGAUGUCCACCUGAAACACUCCAGGCCCCCACUCGCCACCCUUUGUGAACAUCAGAGGACUACUAAUUCAGCAAACAUUUUUAAGUAUUUUCCUUAAGAUAGCGACAUGAUGGAAAUUAUGACUUUAUUCGAUUCAGUUUACAGAGCUUCAGUCUGUAAAUUAAAGUGGGAGCAUGUUGAAGGGUAAGCCAGCAGAGCAUUCCCAUUGAACUUUCCUUGUUAAGGAUGGUGCCAAGCAAACCUGCCGUUCCCUGGUGAGACGCUCUUCCUAAUUAAAGGGGAAGGUGGCCGCCAUCUGUCCUCUUCCAUUCAAGGCAGUAGGGGGACUGGAGUGGAAGGAAGCAAACUCCCCUUUUAUUUUUCCCCCACUCUUUUUUCUUUUCCUUUUUAUACUCGGCUUUCUCCCUAGUCAGUGACCCAGAAGGUCAUUGACGAUCUGUCUGCCUCCGUAUGAAUAGUACUGUAAGCAUGCCUGCCUGGCGCUUGGAAAACAAAGUUCAUAGCAGUGAAUUUUCUACUUAGAACUCCACUUGAACCAUGUCUCAGAGUAUUGCAGUCUGCACAUAGCUGUCUCUGCCCCCGGCAUCCUGAAGUUACUCCUGGUAGGAAAAAUGGGGAGUUUUAUUUUUAUUGAUUUUACUUUUUCAUGAAGAUAGUAUACAUUCCACUGGACAUAAUGAAAAGAUAUGUUAGUUACAGUGCCUGUAUGUUAUCGGGGGAAAGAGAGCAUGGAUAAGGAUAUUAACAGAUGUUCCAUUGCAUAGUGGUCUGUCCCUGUGUCCACUGAGUAAUUCACAUGGUUUAUCGUUCAGUUAAGCAGGAAGCUUGGUAGCCUCCUUCUCAUGAAAAUCUGCUCCAAGAGAAUGUAGUUAGUUUAUGCUCAUGGCAUGAUUGCUUUUAAGAUGUGAGUUACCCUCAACAAAAUGAUUUUACUAUGUUGCCUCAAUUUCCCUCUUGAUCAUAUUUUUUUUGCUUUAAGCAUUUGAGAGACUAUGAAAUACUACUUGUUUUUCAUACAAACUUUAUUGGAACUGAGAAAUUGUAAAUUGUUUAGUUAGUUUUAUUUUCAGUUUUUAAUAUACUUUGGCAAAAUGCUAUUAACAGUCAUAUUAAACUGACCAGGACUGGUUCAAACUUUACAGCCAAUGCCAGAUUUCAUACUGUCUGUGUGACAUGGAAAUGUGAUAUUUCUCAACCUUGUGAUAAUAUAGGGAAGCUCAAACAUGGGAGUCACCCCUGGAAUCUCACUCACCGCUCUUUUCAGAUUCCUCACCAACCUGUAAUGGGCGUUCUUGGAAGCAUGGUUGUGCUUCUGCCGUGUGACGUCUGGCGAGGAGGAAUGUAGGCAUCUGCAGACAAGCACCCAGUCUGCAAGUCUGGGUUUAGCCUAGGUCCAUCGGUGAAGGGUUGGAGCAAGUGUGAGCAGCUAGUCCUUGUCCUCUCACAGCCUUUUUACGUCUGGUUCUGUUGCCUUGUUUCACAAGUUAGGGCUUUAGAUGCUCAGUUACAUAAUGAACUAGCCAUGUACAUUGUGGUUAAAAUUAAUUUUCCCCCUUAGAAUUAAGAGGACUAAAAUAUGUCAGUAAAGUGUGAUUCUCAGGUAAUAUAUUUAGUUUUGGGGGCUGCACCUAUAUGGAUAGGUGUGCAUGUGUAGGCCAAGGGUGUUCGGUGUCUUCCUUGACCACCCUCCACCUCAUAACAUUGAGUUAGGGUUUCUCCUGAAUUUAGUUUGUCAGUUCUGCUUGUUGAGGUAGCCACGUGCUCUGGGGGUCCUGUUUCCACCCCCUGAGUGCCAGGACUGUAGGCACACCGCCAUGCCUGCUCCUCCCCUCGUAAAAGGUUUGCUGGACAUCUGUAGGCGGCAUGAUCUUUACCCACUGAGCCUUGUCCUCAGCCCCAAGUGAUUAGUACUUCAACUCACAUGGCAAGAGACACAUGGACAGGUCAGUGUGACCCAGGAAGAGUUCAGACUUUACUAAUGGGAUGCCAGCUCCCUGGAGCACGUCACUUCCUGCCUGCCUGCCGCUGCUGUGUGAACCUUUGGGCUUUCUUUCUGUCUGUGGGGUAGUAAGGAACUGUUUUUGCUAGCACUGAUGACUAAACUAUGUAUAUCUUGUUGUCGACACCCAGUGGGCCACCGGUUCAUCCCUAGAGUUAGUGUGUUACGUUCAGAAGUAAGCAGCUCGCCCACGGAUCCAGCAUCCCAGGAGGACGCUGCCUAGCUAAAUGACAUGAUGAGGUAACUGCAGGGUGGUGGGCACUGUCGCCUUCCAGAACCCAGAUCAGGUUCAAGUAAGAUCUCAUGAUAGAAAUGCGGGGUGGGGGGGUGAUAUAGAGUUGCUCAUGGAAUCAAAUCUUAGCAGUGAAAGCCUUACCCCACCCCUUCUUAUGUCGAGGCUUCAGAAUAGACUUUGAUCCAUAGUUGCUAAUCAGUUGAAAUGUUUUUAUUCAAUAAGAAGUUUUCUUUUACCUCCAUUAAAUUGUUGGUCCUAAAAGGUUCUGAGAUUCUCGGAAUAACUUUGGAUUCUCUAAGAAGACAGAAUAAUUAAUUUUUUCUUUUACCUGUUAGACCUGAGAGGACCAACCCAGUCUACAAAGUUAGUUCUAGGCCAGACAGGGCUGUGUGGAAAGACCCUGCCUUAAUUAAACAAACAAAAAAUAGAACUGAGAAAACAUAGCCAGAAAUGGUGGUAUAUGCCUUUAAUUCCAGCACUCAGGAGGCAGAGGCAGACAGAGCUCUAUGAAUUCAAGGCCAACCAGGGGUUCUUGGUGAGACCCUGUCUCAAGUAAGUAAAUAAAUAAAAUCUGAGAGACUAUGGAAGCAUCAUGGGUCAUUUUACUGUUGCCAGUUUCUAUGUAACUAAUCCAUGGAGACAGAAACUUGAAGGUAGCUUGCCUCUCUGUGAGUGAGGGGAACCAGGGCUGCUUCAUAACCUCUUGUGUGUUACAUUCCGGAGGGACAGAAUUUCUGUGAUGUGUCUCAUGGACAGUGUCAUUUGGUUCGUUGUGGAGUAUCAGUUCCAGGCAGUGUCCUAAGCAGUUCACUGUGGACAUGGAAGGCUGCUGCUCCCUGUAGAUACCCUGUAGGUGUAAGGACUUUGCCAGUGCAUGACUGAGCCGAGAGCCUGAAGAUGUCCUUGCAGAGCCUAAAGCUAAGGUUCUGUGCGCAGAUCAAGUUAGAGAAAAGGGUAGAAAAAGUGGAGAGGAACAGACCAGCAGCAUGGCAACUUGGAACCAAGGCUAAUCAGUGCACGGAGUUAGAAAUGCUUCCGAGGUGAAGGGUCUCUGAGCUCAGGGUAGGAGAAAGGUGGGGUUGGACAUGAGGCCUUGGGAAGAAGGAAAGCGUCCUUAUCUGUGGGAACAGCUGGUGUUGAUGGGAAAUACCAGUGACAGUGGUCACUCCCUGUCUCACAGAACCUGGCACAGUGGCUGCAGAGACCAUUAAGAGAGCAGAGGUCCCAUGAAUGCCAGCUCUAGGAGGGCCCCACUCACUGUAAUUAAACAGAUCAGUUUUAAUACCGAGUCACAAGGGAGCAGGAGAAGGUUUUGGGCAGAGCCCUGUGCUGGUGUGUGUGAAAGAGUGUGGCCUGGACAGUGACACAACUAGCAGUGGGACUCAGAGGCACUGUCUGGAAAAACAAAGCAAAAUAAGGAAGGCGGGAGUAAGAAGGCCACAGUGGGCCCAAAGGCAAGGUCCAGGAACUGCUGGGUCAUACGAUGGU